GGUGCCGAUAAAUUUUGGUUGUUAUAUUCUUAUUUGCCUUCUUAUUUUUCCUAAUAAUGAUCUAAAUUAAAUAGAUAUUGAAGGGACUAACCUCUUUUUUUUUCUACCCAUAUGAUGUUUUAAAGCUGAUGGGUGCUGAUGGAUUUUGCUAGCUAUAUUCUUAUGGUUGCCUUCUUAUUUUUUCUGAUAAUGAUUCAAACUUAAUU
rnacentral:lncRNA from 1 species